CAAGGAGUGAGUGCAUAAAAAGAAGUAACAAUAAUUAUUUCUUCAAGUACAUGAACCCAGCUGGUUUAGCGCUUCUUUAUAAUAUUAAUAAUAAUAAUAAUGAACCCAGCAGUAGGCCUACUGUCUCAUGUUAAGGGCUUGGCCUCUGCCCUAACCAUUAGGCAAGAUGGAAUCCUUCACCACCUCCAAGUGAGCUCCCUUGCCUUAUGCAAAACCAAAGUCACUUCCUGAGGCCUUGAAGGAGAAGCUUCAACAUCAGACUGACAUCAUGUGUCCAAGCCACCAGGGAGAGAAGUCUCUUUCCCAGGUCACUGAGGAGAGAAACUUUAACAUCAGUCCUUUAGAGCCAACAAAGUGCUGAAUGACAAGUUUCUUUUCUGGGGCUAACACUUUCAUGUGAGAGUGAUGGAGUUUACAUUGUUAUUUGUGUGAGUUGCCUUGUUCCAAACAGUUUAUGGCAUUGUUGGAGCAUCAUAAAGAAAUUGUAGAAUAUUCAUAUAUGGAAAAAUGUUGUGGGUUGAUCACAAAAUGCUGCAAUAACUUGAAAUGUUUUGUGUUCAUCUGUGCAAUAUUGAUGCU